GCCGAGGUGGCGGAAUUGGCAGACGCGCUGUCUUGAGGGGGCAGUGGGCUUUAAGGCCCGUGUGGGUUCAAAUCCCACCCUCGGCACCA
rnacentral:tRNA from 2 species